AUGGAGGGAAAAUGUAAGUUUUAUUUUGAUGCAAAAAAAAUGAAAUCCAUGCAUAGUUUUUUCUUUUUUAAAAUUUAUUUAUUUUAUUUAAAAGGCAGAGCUACUGAGAGAGAGGGAGAGAGAUGUUCAUUCCCUCCGAGGAGCCUGGACCUCCAUCCGGGUCUCCCACACGGGUGCAGGGACCCAAGCACUUGGACCAUCUUCUAUUGCUUGCCUAGGCGCAUUUGCAGGGAGCCAGAUCGGAAGUGGAGCAGCCGGGCCUCGAACUGGCACCACAGCGAGGGAGAGGCAGUGCUUUAAGUCAAAGGAUUUUGCACAGAUGCGACCGCCCUAGCGUGUGACACUCACACACGCACACACCUGGACUUGUGGGGAAGGUGGGGGACUGCCCAUGGAGUGUGUGUGAAAUGGUAGAAUGGAUUUCUCGAAGUGGGAUCGCAGUGUAGACCCAUGAAUGCUCCUAUUUUUUCUUAGAGAGGAUGCAUGUUAAAGGUUUAAAGAUUUGUAGCUGGCACGUGGACGCUGUCUAUGUGGGGUGACCGGCUGCAUGGGGUUUCCUUCCACGGGGGGUUGUAUGCGCCAGGGGUCUCCAUCUGCGUAGGGUUCCUGUCCGCGUGCCCGCCGCCCAGUGUCCCUGUUGGGGAAGCCAAGCUCUCGCCUCCCACAGUGAGCCUGUCUGUGGGGUGAUCCUUCAAAGCCCCUUUAGAGAUACACAGGGCGGUGCGGUCGUCCGCAGCCCUCUCUGUGCCCAGAACUCGGGCGGGAGCACACGAGCGUGCAGCAGGGGGCAGGUGCGGCCAGCCGGGACGCACGCAUGGCGACUGCUCUGCCGCUGACCCUUGACCAACACAGGCUGAUUCACACAGCCCCACUUAGGGGGAUUUUUAUUUUUAGACAUUUGUGACCUUUGGAAAAACCUCACACAUCUUCCGCAUUGACUACAAAUGAGAGCAGCCGGGACUCGAAUGGGAGGGGCUUUAACCCACUGUGCCACAGUGUUGGCCCCCUUCACCACUGAGUUUUAUUCCUUGAGUCCUAGGCAUGGCUUAAGCACAAACAUCCUUCAACACCCACAUCAAUCCCUUGAGGUUAGGGAAUAAUUGUUCCCAUGUUAUAAGAUAGAAAACUAGCAUCAGAGAUUGGCAAUAUAUUCAAGGGAUAGCAUCGUAGCUGGUUAAGCAGCCACCUCUGACGCUGGCAUCCCAUAUGGGCACAGGUUCAAGUCCUGGCUGCUCUACUUCCUAUCCAGCUCCCUGCUAAUGUAUCUGGAAAAAGAGCAGAGGACGGCCCAAACAUUUGGGCCCCUGCACACACAUGGGAGACCCCGAAGAAGCUCCUGGCUUUGGCCUGGCCCAGCCCCAGCCACUGUGGCCAUUUGAAGAGUGAACCAACAGAUGGAAGAUCUCUCUUUCUUUCUCUCACUUUCUCUUUCUGUAACUCUGCCUUUCAGACAAAUAGAUAAAUCUUUAGAAGAGGAAAUAAAAAGUCUCCCAGGGAUGGGAUUUGCCCA
rnacentral:lncRNA from 1 species